rnacentral:sRNA from 1 species
GGGUGGGGGCCCAGGUGGCCUGGUCGUGGGCGGGGGGCAGGAGGAAGAGGAGGAGGAAGAAGAAGAGGCCCCUGUGUCCGUCUGGGAUGAGGAGGAGGAUGGUGCCGUGUUUACCGUCACAAGCCGCCAAUAUCGACCUCUUGAUCCCUUGGUCCCUAUGCCUCCCCCACGUUCCUCCCGACGGCUCCGAGCUGGCACUCUGGAGGCCCUGGUCAGACACCUACUGGAUACCCGGACAUCAGGGACUGAUGUGACCUUCAUGUCAGCCUUCCUGGCUACCCACCGGGCCUUCACCUCCACGCCUGCCUUGCUAGGGCUUAUGGCUGACAGGCUGGAAGCCCUUGAAUCUCAUCCUACCGACGAACUAGAGAGGACAACAGAGGUAGCCAUCUCUGUACUGUCAACCUGGCUGGCCUCUCACCCUGAGGAUUUUGGCUCUGAGGCCAAGGGUCAGCUUGACCGGCUUGAGAGCUUCUUACUUCAGACAGGGUAUGCAGCAGGGAAGGGUGUUGGGGGGGGCAGCGCUGACCUCAUCCGCAAUCUCCGGUCCCGGGUGGACCCCCAGGCCCCCGACCUUCCUAAGCCCCUGGCCCUCCCCGGCGAUCCCCCUGCUGACCCCACGGAUGUCCUGGUGUUCCUCGCUGACCACUUGGCCGAACAGCUGACCCUGCUAGAUGCGGAGCUUUUUCUCAAUUUGAUCCCCUCUCAGUGCCUGGGAGGCCUGUGGGGUCACAGAGACCGGCCAGGACAUUCUCACCUCUGCCCAUCUGUCCGAGCUACUGUCACACAGUUCAACAAGGUGGCAGGGGCAGUGGUUAGUUCUGUCCUGGGGGCUACUUCCACUGGAGAGGGACUUGGGGAGGUGACCAUACGGCCACUCCGUCCCCCACAGAGGGCCCGGCUCCUGGAGAAGUGGAUCCGCGUGGCAGAGGAGUGCCGGCUGCUCCGAAACUUCUCUUCAGUUUAUGCCGUGGUGUCAGCCCUGCAGUCCAGCCCCAUCCACAGGCUUCGGGCAGCCUGGGGGGAAGCAACCAGGGACAGCCUCAGAGUCUUUUCCAGCCUCUGCCAGAUUUUCUCCGAGGAGGAUAAUUAUUCCCAGAGUCGGGAGCUGCUCAUGCAGGAGGUGAAGCUGCAGUCUCCUCUGGAGCCACACUCCAAGAAGGCCCCGAGGUCUGGCUCCCGGGGUGGGGGUGUGGUCCCAUACCUUGGCACCUUCCUGAAGGACCUUGUGAUGCUGGAUGCAGCCUCCAAGGAUGAGUUGGAGAAUGGAUACAUCAAUUUUGACAAGCGGAGGAAGGAGUUUGCAGUCCUUUCUGAGUUGCGACGGCUCCAGAAUGAAUGUCGUGGCUAUAACCUCCAACCUGACCAUGAUAUCCAGAGGUGGCUACAGGGGCUCCGGCCACUGACAGAGGCUCAGAGCCAUCGUGUAUCCUGUGAGGUGGAGCCACCUGGUUCCAGUGACCCUCCUGCCCCACGGGUGCUUCGGCCAACAUUGGUCAUCUCGCAGUGGACAGAGUGAGAGAUUCACUGGCUGGGGGGUGGUUUCUUGGGACUUCCACUUUUCUCUGAUCCUCCCAAUCUCCUGCCACUGCAGGGUUUUGGGCUCUGUUGGGGUCCCUACCCCGCUUGUGUCCUGUGACCGGCCCAGUAUUGGGGGAGAUGAGGCGCCUACAACUCCUGCUCCUCUGCUGACUCGGCUGGCCCAGCACAUGAAGUGGCCAUCUGUCUCGUCACUAGACUCUGCCUUGGAAAGCAGUCCAUCCCUGCACAGUCCAGCUGACCCCAGCCACCUCUCCCCACCAGCCUCCUCCCCUAGGCCUUCUCGAGGUCACCGCCGCUCAGCCUCCUGUGGCUCCCCGCUGAGUGGGGGUGCAGAAGAGGCCUCCGGGGGGACUGGAUAUGGGGGAGGGGGAUCUGGGCCAGGGGCCUCUGAUUGCCGUAUCAUCCGAGUCCAGAUGGAGUUAGGGGAAGAUGGCAGUGUCUAUAAGAGCAUUUUGGUGACAAGCCAGGACAAGGCUCCAAGUGUCAUCAGUCGUGUCCUUAAGAAAAACAAUCGUGACUCUGCAGUGGCUUCAGAGUAUGAGCUGGUACAGCUGCUACCAGGGGAGCGAGAGCUGACUAUCCCAGCCUCGGCUAAUGUAUUCUACGCCAUGGAUGGAGCUUCACACGAUUUCCUCCUGCGGCAGCGGCGAAGGUCCUCUACUGCUACACCUGGUGUCACCAGUGGCCCGUCUGCCUCAGGAACUCCUCCGAGUGAGGGAGGAGGGGGCUCCUUUCCCAGGAUCAAGGCCACAGGGAGGAAGAUUGCACGGGCACUGUUCUGAGGAGGAAGCCCCGUUGGCUUACAGAAGUCAUGGUGUUCAUACCAGAUGUGGGUAGCCAUCCUGAAUGGUGGCAGUUAUAUCCCAUUGAGACAGAAAUUCAGAAAGGUAGCCAGCCACCCUGGGGCAGUGAAGUGCCACUGGUUUACCAGACAGCUGAGAAAUCCAGCCCUGUGGGAACUGGUGUCUGAUAACCAAGUUGGAUACCUGUGUAUAGCUUCCCACCUUCCAUGAGUGCAGCACACAGGUAGUGCUGGAAAAACGCAUCAGUUUCUGAUUCUUGGCCAUAUCCUAACAUGCAAGGGCCAAGCAAAGGCUUCAAGGCUCUGAGCCCCAGGGCAGAGGGGAAUGGCAAAAAGUAGGUCCUCGCAGGAGCUCUUCUUCCCACUCUGGGGGUUUCUAUCACUGUGACAACACUAAGAUAAUAAACCAAAACACUACCUGAAUUCUA